CCACGAUAUGGGCAUCGACAGGCAUCGA
rnacentral:sRNA from 1 species